GCAGCACACACACAGCAGUGUAUGUGUAUGUAUAUAUGUAUAUGUGUAUAUAUGUAUAUGUGUGUAUGUGUAUAUAUAUAUAUAUAUAUAUAUAUAUACACACAUACAUAUACACGCGGCGUGUGUUUGUG